rnacentral:lncRNA from 3 species
UGGGGCGGAAGUGUUACUCUGACAACCGUGAGUAGCGGCGGAGCGGCUAGGAUCACACAGAGCUCAAGAGCUAACUGUGCGGCGUUCUGUGGAGGUCGAGGAAAUAGUGAAACUCCGAGCACUAUACGCAUCGAGGCGUGGGGUGCCAGGAGCAGCACUUCGACCUUAGGUUUGGUUUUGCCGGGCUUUACAACCAACAGUCUGACGUCGGGGAUAGUAAACCGCGAACGUCCCCGUGGAAGGCGCAAUGCAGCUGGUUGCGGUGGUGCCCCCGUUCGCCGACUCGCCGCCCCGGGGAUCCCCGUGUGCAGCGGGCUGGGCGAGGCAAGGGACUAG